rnacentral:rRNA from 1 species
AUUGAACGCUGGCGGCAUGCCUUACACAUGCAAGUCGAACGGUAACAGGUCUUCGGAUGCUGACGAGUGGCGAACGGGUGAGUAAUACAUCGGAACGUGCCCGAUCGUGGGGGAUAACGAAGCGAAAGCUUUGCUAAUACCGCAUACGAUCUACGGAUGAAAGCAGGGGACCGCAAGGCCUUGCGCGAACGGAGCGGCCGAUGGCAGAUUAGGUAGUUGGUGGGAUAAAAGCUUACCAAGCCGACGAUCUGUAGCUGGUCUGAGAGGACGACCAGCCACACUGGGACUGAGACACGGCCCAGACUCCUACGGGAGGCAGCAGUGGGGAAUUUUGGACAAUGGGCGAAAGCCUGAUGCAGCCAUGCCGCGUGCAGGAUGAAGGCCUUCGGGUUGUAAACUGCUUUUGUACGGAACGAAAAGACUCUGGUUAAUACCUGGGGUCCAUGACGGUACCGUAAGAAUAAGCACCGGCUAACUACGUG